UUUAGAGACGUGCUCACAAAGCCAAGAAGGGAGUUCCUGGUCCUUGUACUUCACAGCGUAUAUUAUACCUUGCACUUUGGAGAUGAGCCACUCAAUCUUCCACCUAUCCUUUUAUCGUGAGGAUGUUACAAUGAGCCAAUCUAAGGGACUCAAUCUCACAUGAAAUUUUUUCCAUACUUCUUUCUCCAACAUCCUAAGGAUCAGAGUAAUUUUUAUACAUUGGAUCUUCCCCGGACUUAUUUGUAAAAAUACAGGACGUCCCCAGUCUGUACCUCAACCAUUUUUGACGUGUAUCAGUGAAGAGGUUCUUCAAAAUGACGUUUGGAUCUGCAUGUUACAUGCCGUCGCUAAUACCAAGCCAUUCGAACCUUCGCCUCGUGAUUGAUGAAGGAUCCUUCUCUUCACGACCAAUACUAACAGUCUAAGCUUGCUUUAUUAUUUUGUUAGGAAUUACUUCUAAGGCAAUGAAUACAGGGAUUGGAGGACCGAGAUAAUUACUUUUGAAAUAUCGUUCGUAGAACCUCCGCCGCGUUCUAUGCGAUAGAAAUAAGUUAUUCAAAAGAGGGAUCAUCCCGUCUGAUAUAUAUUGGUAUGCUGAAAUAAUUCCUGCACUUAGGAACUCACUCCUACUGUUCUGUCGAAGAUCAUAAUUAAGUGGUUCGUUUGAAUCUAGUAAAGAGAGGACAUUCUCAAUGAUAGAGCUCCAUACUGAGCACAUCUUCCUCCAAUGAUGACCCGAAGUUUUUAGCACUCCAAACAUUUCAGAUGGAAAACCAAUCCGUUGUAAGAAUUAUGUUUUGAUUUUAAUUGCCCAAAAAUCAGCAGGAACUUAUCGAGCAUUGACAUUCCCGGUGAUCAUUCUAAGUUUUGCAUUUAACAUGGAGCUCGGCAAGGAAAUUUGCUAACGCCAUCCCUAUUUCUAAUCGCAAUGAAUGGAUUGAACGAGAUUAUCAACUACAACUCAACCCUUGAAGGAACGCAAGAAAAACUGCCAUAUUCCAUCUCUGACAUCAUUGAAGUCAUUCAGGAUUUCAAAAAAUACAGGUCUCUCCAUCAGCAUCGAAAAGAAUAGCAUUUUAUCUAACUCUGACGACUAUCUUAAGACAUAUGAUGGUCAUAGCGAGUUAUAUUUUGCUAAGUCUUUUUCACUUCGAGGGAUUUAAGUUUCUAGCUGCAGUGCCGAUGCUGAUCGAAGAAAUUAGUUUAAAAAAUUUAUCUACCAUACAGAAAAGUGUCAGAUUUUUCAGUAAUACCCCACUCCCUAGAAAUGAAAAAUGGAAUACCUAGGAUAUCAAUAUCCUCCCAAAAACAUUCUAUCUGCUAAGAUACGAACUUUUUUCAAAGAUGAUAUGUGAGAGCAUAUAUUAAUUAAGGUAGAUUUUGUAUGGGGGCAUGCAAGAUCAUACGUUUCAAAGUCGAGGAUUAAUGCAUCAACAACUUGCUGGGGGUCUUGGUUCUACGCACAUAGAAGGUAUGUGGAAGGCCUUGAAUCUCUCCUGUUAAAACGACUCAGAAGAUUACACUCCUAGUUUAUGUAUGGCUUAUAAAUAUAUUUUUUUAAUAUAAUAAUCUUACCUUGUUUUUAUGCCACAAUAUUCCUCAAAAAAAAGAUUGAUGAAAUAUUGAUAAGAAAUUCAAUCAUGUGCAUCAAGGACAACUCACAACCAAUACACAAAAGUGAGGUCAUAAUCAUAGUGUAUUUAUUGACAGCUCAACUACUAAAGAUAUGUUUAGUAAAAUAUCAGAACUAGAGAACAGCUAGUUUUAUAUUUAUAAGGAUUUUUUAAACAGGACCAGAUGGUACACCUAGACGUUAAAGGGUUAAUUGUUGUCCAAACAAAAAAUGAUAAAGGCUCCUUCAUUUCAAAAGGAUAUUUUUUAAAUAAAAAAUGGAUUUACGAGUCUCAAAAUUUGUACAUGACAUGUACAAAUAUCUCCUUGCUAUUCUUCCAAUGUAUCCGAAGACAUCUGUUACUACAGGACUUUAACGCUAAAAACGAGUGUGUGUAUGUUACAAGAGCUACCUGCUUUUCAUUUUCUUAUUAGUAGUUACUAAUAUAAAUUAUGUCUUUGUAUAUUACUUAAUGCUGAAUGUAUACCUAUUCCAUUAAUUAAUUAUAGUCAUUGUUAAUUCACUGUUCAUAAACUACAAUUUUGUUCGGGUAAAUUGAAUAUUAAUUUUAUUGUC
rnacentral:lncRNA from 1 species